GCGGAGGAAAAGAAACCAACAGGGAUUGCCCUAGUAACGGCGAGUGAAGCGGCAACAGCUCAAAUUUGAAAUCUGGCCUUCGGGUCCGAGUUGUAAUUUGUAGAGGAUGCUUUUGGUGCGGUGCCUUCCGAGUUCCUUGGAACAGGACGCCUUAGAGGGUGAGAGCCCCGUACGGUUGGACACCAAGCCUUUGUAAAGCUCCUUCGACGAGUCGAGUAGUUUGGGAAUGCUGCUCUAAAUGGGAGGUAAAUUUCUUCUAAAGCUAAAUACCGGCCAGAGACCGAUAGCGCACAAGUAGAGUGAUCGAAAGAUGAAAAGUACUUUGAAAAGAGGGUUAAAUAGCACGUGAAAUUGUUGAAAGGGAAGCGUUUAUGACCAGACCUUUGUCAGGCGGAUCAUCCGGUGUUCUUCACCGGUGCACUUCGCCUGGCUUAGGCCAGCAUCGAUUUCUGUAGGGGGACAAAGACCAUGGGAACGUAGCUCUCUUCGGGGAGUGUUAUAGCCCUAGGUGUAAUACCCUUACGGGGAUCGAGGUUCGCGCUUCUGCAAGGAUGCUGGCGUAAUGGUCAUCAAUGACCCGUCUUGAAACACGGACCAAGGAGUCGAACAUUUAUGCGAGUGUUUGGGUGUUAAACCCUCACGCGUAAUGAAAGUGAACGGAGGUGAGAGCCUUUUAUUAGGUGCAUCAUCGACCGAUCCUGAUGUAUUCGGAAGGAUUUGAGUAAGAGCAUAACUGUUCGGACCCGAAAGAUGGUGAACUAUGCGUGGAUAGGGUGAAGCCAGAGGAAACUCUGGUGGAGGCUCGCAGCGGUUCUGACGUGCAAAUCGAUCGUCAAAUCUGCGCA
rnacentral:sRNA from 1 species